UGAGGAAUAUUGGUCAAUGGGCGAGAGCCUGAACCAGCCAAGUAGCGUGCAGGAUGACGGCCCUAUGGGUUGUAAACUGCUUUUAUGUGGGGAUAAAGUGCGUGACGUGUCAUGCAUUGCAGGUACCACAUGAAUAAGGACCGGCUAAUUCCGUGCCAGCAGCCGCGGUAAUACGGAAGGUCCGGGCGUUAUCCGGAUUUAUUGGGUUUAAAGGGAGCGUAGGCUGUCUAUUAAGCGUGUUGUGAAAUAUACCGGCUCAACCGGUGGCUUGCAGCGCGAACUGGUCGACUUGAGUAUGCAGGAAGUUGGCGGAAUUCAUGGUGUAGCGGUGAAAUGCUUAGAUAUCAUGACGAACUCCGAUUGCGCAGGCAGCUUACUGUAGCAUAACUGACGCUGAUGCUCGAAAGUGCGGGUAUCAAACAGG
rnacentral:rRNA from 1 species